UACGCACGCUGGCGGCGUGCUUAACACAUGCAAGUCGAACGGUGAAGCGAGUGCUUGCACUCGUGGAUCAGUGGCGAACGGGUGAGUAACACGUGAGUAACCUGCCCAUCACUCUGGGAUAAGCACUGGAAACGGUGUCUAAUACUGGAUACGACCAACCCUUGCAUGGGGUGUUGGUGGAAAGAUUUAUCGGUGAUGGAUGGACUCGCGGCCUAUCAGCUUGUUGGCGGGGUAAUGGCCCACCAAGGCGACGACGGGUAGCCGGCCUGAGAGGGUGACCGGCCACACUGGGACUGAGACACGGCCCAGACUCCUACGGGAGGCAGCAGUGGGGAAUAUUGCACAAUGGGCGAAAGCCUGAUGCAGCGACGCCGCGUGAGGGAUGACGGCCUUCGGGUUGUAAACCUCUUUCAGCAGGGAAGAAGCGAAAGUGACGGUACCGGCAGAAGAAGCACCGGCUAACUACGU
rnacentral:rRNA from 1 species